GCCGGAGUAGCUCAGCGGCAGAGCAUUCGCUUCGUAAGCGAGUGGUCGAGGGUUCGAUUCCCUCCUCCGGCU
rnacentral:tRNA from 1 species